ensembl:snoRNA SNORA48 small nucleolar RNA, H/ACA box 48
UGUCCCUGGUCUGGGUAGAGUGGUACCUUCUUUGGUGGUGCUUAUCUCAUAUCAGCCAGGGACAAAGCAACUCCUUGUUCAUCCCAGCUUGGCUGUUGGUCUGUGCCCAUGCCUGGUUCAUGCCCUGGACACAUGA